UUCUGCUUCCUAUCUCUGUUCACCACACCCUGCCAGCUCGCAUAUUUCAUUGGGUCCUUCUGUGCAUCAGACUUAACAGCUGUGGUACUCUAACAUGAUGGCUUUUGGAGCUCAGUGAAACAAAGGAUUAAAGAGACGAGUGAGACGCUGAAGUGUGUGAUUCAAUGAAAACCAGCCACUCAGGCCUGUUUCGGAGUGCAAACACUUAGGAGUAGAAUCACUGUCGGAGCAAACAGACCUGAGUGACUCUGGAGGCCAUUCUCACGCCAUCUCUUCUCACUCCAGCUGUUUAUCCAUAGUAAACAUCUGAAGUAGUCUCCUGCUCUUUGUACAGCAAUCACAUUUGUGACAAUAUGGCCUUUUUUUUAAUGUAACAAUUGAAAUUAUUUAAUUUUUAGGUAUUCCAUGUAUGAGAUUUUUCACUUUUCCUGUUUUACGAG